AUCUUUAACAUAGAAACAGGCAGUGAUUUCUCUUCAAUGGGAUGGCAGCAAAGCACUUAAGAUUAAACAUGGGCUUAAUGCAGAUGCUUUCCUGAAUAAAGGCUUAAAUAAGAAAGGUGGGGUCUACUGCACCAAUCAACAUGAACCCUCCAUUGUCCAUCCUCUUAAGAAACAAUGGAUAUGGUCCUAUGUUCUCUGGAGCAUCUGCUUCAUACUAGACUUAUUGCUGAAACUCAUGAUGGCUCACUUUUGUCUUAAUGACUGUCAGUCAAAUUAACCUCACAUGGAAAUGACACACCUACAACCCACAGAACUGUUCUCGGCUGCUACUUAACUGAGUCAUUUCCUCUCCCCAAAGGCACUCGGCCCUCCAUCCGAGAUCCUAACUUACAGCCUUCUGUUUCUUACAUGCAGGCUCAAUUGAAGUCAGUGAGAAUGUUACUGGUGCAGGUUCUUAUUGUGACUUCAAUUUGGUCAUAUGGAGCUGCACAAGUACAAUUGACACAAGUUCAGUUAUCCAUCACAAGGAAAACAAUGAAAACAGUAAGCAUUGACUGUAAAGUUUCUGGCAUCAGUUUUGGUGAUGCUUAUAUACACUGGUAUCGACAGAGACCUGGAGAAGCUCCGGAGUGGAUACUCUACUUUAAGUCACAAGCUGAUAAAUCAAAUUUUGACAACAACAAGUUUAGCGUUGACAAGACAACUGCAAAAUCCACCUGUACCCUAACAGUAGACAAACUAACCUACAAUGACAUGGCUACCUAUUACUGUGCCUACUGGGAUCACACAGUGUUAGAAAGCCAUAGACAGGCUGUGCAAUAACCUCACUCUGUAUUCUGAGUCACAGACUUUCAAAAGUGUACAAAUGAAAAAAAAAACCCAACCCACAUACAUAGUUGCCUUCUUAAUCUUAAUCACCUGAAAGCACAAGUAGAUACUCAUUUCCUCUGAGCUAGAUACAAGACCAUCACAUACAACUGAUGUUUUUAAGUAUGGCAGGCAUAAAUUUGAAAGGGUGUAAUAAAAGCUAACUUUUAUAGGUACAGCAUAGCAUCUCAUUGACCACAUCCUGGAGAUACUUAUAGUAUAAGUCAGAUAUCCAAUUCCUCCUUCAUUUCUGGUUAAUCAUCUUUAGAAAGCCAUUCCUAUCAAGUCCCUCCUUGAAUGUUCGACAUGCUUGCUACCAUUUCUGGGGCUCGAUACAGGGGUUGGGACACUCAGACCAGGGGGCUGUUAGCAAUAUUGGUUUUAA